GUGAAUCAUCGAAUCUUUGAACGCAAAUUGCACUCUCCGGUUUUCCGGGAGAGUAUGCCUGUUUGAGGGUCAGCCUAAAAAAAAUCGACAUUGGGGCUGUUAUUUAAUGGUGACUUUCGUCGGAGAGUGGGUUAUCUUAAACCUUUUUUUUUUUUUUGGUUGAAGGGACGUAAAAUUUUUUUUGAGGAUUCGUUGAAAGAGUCUAGGAUUUUUAUU
rnacentral:misc_RNA from 1 species